rnacentral:rRNA from 1 species
AUACGUAGGGUGCGAGCGUUAAUCGGAAUUACUGGGCGUAAAGCGUGCGCAGGCGGCUAUGCAAGACAGAUGUGAAAUCCCCGGGCUCAACCUGGGAACUGCAUUUGUGACUGCAUGGCUAGAGUGCGUCAGAGGGAGGUGGAAUUCCGCGUGUAGCAGUGAAAUGCGUAGAGAUGCGGAGGAACACCGAUGGCGAAGGCAGCCUCCUGGGAUGACACUGACGCUCAUGCACGAAAGCGUGGGGAGCAAACAGGAUUAGAUACCCUGGUAGUCCACGCCCUAAACGAUGUCAACUAGUUGUCGGGGAUUCAUUUCCUUGGUAACGCAGCUAACGCGUAAAGUUGACCGCCUGGGGAGUACGGCCGCAAGGUUAAA